AACAAGGCCUUUACUGACGCUAAAGCUCGAAAGGUGCGGGUAUCGAACAGGAUUAGAUACCCUGGUAGUCCGCACGGUAAAACGAUGGAUGCCCGCUGUUUGCGAUAUACUGUGAGCGGCCAAGAGAAAUCGUUAAGCAUCCCACCUGGGGAGUACGCCGGCAACGGUGAAACUCAAAGGAAUUGACGGGGGCCCGCACAAGCGGAGGAACAUGUGGUUUAAUUCGAUGAUACGCGAGGAACCUUACCCGGGCUUGAACUGCCAGUGAACGAUACAGAGAUGUUGAGGCCCUUCGGGGCACUGGUGGAGGUGCUGCAUGGUUGUCGUCAGCUCGUGCCGUGAGGUGUCGGCUUAAGUGCCAUAACGAGCGCAACCCUUUUCAUUAGUUGCCAUCAGGUAAUGCUGGGCACUCUGGUGAUACUGCCACCGUAAGGUGUGAGGAAGGUGGGGAUGACGUCAAAUCAGCACGGCCCUUACGUCCGGGGCUACACACGUGUUACAAUGGGUGGUACAGAGAGUCGGAUCAACGCAAGUUGUUUCUAAUCCUAAAAGCCAUCCUCAGUUCGGAUUGGGGUCUGCAACCCGACCCCAUGAAGCUGG
rnacentral:rRNA from 1 species